GGCGGCGUGGAUAAGACAUGCAAGUCGAACGGGAUUAUUUUUGUAGCAAUACAGAGGUAAUUCAGUGGCGAACGGGUGCGUAACACGUGGGCAAUCUGCCGAAAAGUGGGGGAUAGCUCGCCGAAAGGCGAAUUAAUACCGCAUGUGGUGAGGGACGACAUCUUCCUGAAUCCAAAGCCGGGGUAACCUGGCGCUUUUUGAGGAGCCCGCGGCCUAUCAGCUAGUUGGUGAGGUAACGGCCCACCAAGGCUUUGACGGGUAGCUGGUCUGAGAGGACGACCAGUCACACUGGAACUGAGACACGGUCCAGACACCUACGGGUGGCAGCAGUCGAGAAUUUUUCUCAAUGGGGGCAACCCUGAAGGAGCGACGCCGCGUGGAGGAUGAAGGCUUUCGGGUUGUAAACUCCUGUCAUUUGGGAACAAGUUGUACGUGUUAACUGCGCGUGCAUUGAUAGUACCAGAAGAAGAAGGGACGGCUAACUCUGUGCCAGCAGCCGCGGUAAUACAGAAGUCC
rnacentral:rRNA from 1 species